rnacentral:rRNA from 1 species
AGGCCCUUUCGGGGGUACUCGAGCGGCGAACGGGUGAGUAACACGUGAGUAAUCUGCCCUGCGCUCUGGGAUAGCCACCGGAAACGGUGAUUAAUACCGGAUAGGACCACUUCACGCAUGUGAUGGUGGUGGAAAGUUUUUUCGGCGCAGGAUGUGCUCGCGGCCUAUCAGCUUGUUGGUGAGGUAACGGCUCACCAAGGCUUUGACGGGUAACCGGCCUGAGAGGGUGACCGGUCACACUGGGACUGGGACACGGCCCAGACUCCUACGGGAGGCAGCAGUGGGGAAUAUUAGACAAUGGGCGGAAGCCUGAUCCAGCAACGCCGCGUGAGGGAUGACGGCCUUCGGGUUGUAAACCUCUUUCAGUACCGACGAAGCGAAAGUGACGGUAGGUACAGAAGAAGGACCGGCCAACUACGUGCCAGCAGCCGCGGUAAUACGUAGGGUCCGAGCGUUGUCCGGAAUUAUUGGGCGUAAAGGGCUCGUAGGCGGUUUGUCGCGUCGGGAGUGAAAACACCGGGCUUAACUCGGUGCUUGCUUUCGAUACGGGCAGACUAGAGGUAUGCAGGGGAGAAUGGAAUUCCUGGUGUAGCGGUGAAAUGCGCAGAUAUCAGGAGGAACACCGGUGGCGAAGGCGGUUCUCUGGGCAUUAC